GUCUCUCCGGCUGGACGGGUGAGUCCUGCGACUGUCCCGUCUCCACCGAGAGCUGCGUGUCGGACGACGGCUCCGUCUGCAGCGGCUGGGGGCAGUGUGUGUGCGGCAAGUGUGUGUGUGACGACGCUCGGCGCUCGGGAGCCUUCUGUGAGACAUGCCCCGUCUGCUACAGCUCCUGUCAAUCACACUGGAGCUGUGUGAAGUGUCACGUGUCUCGGGGUCUGGACUCAGACGCUCCGGGUCUCUGUAAUCACAGCUGCGCUCCGGCCGUGGAGUACGUGGAGGACAUCACAGAGCUGGUGCGGGGGAAGUACUGCCUGUAUCCCAGCGGUGAGAAGUGCCAGCAUCGCUUCCUCGUGGAGCUGUCUUCAGAUGGUCCUCAGCUGCUCAUCAGUCGUCAUCCGGUGUGUGUUUGGAGCCGG